rnacentral:rRNA from 1 species
GAUGAACGCUGGCGGCGUGCCUAAUACAUGCAAGUCGAGCGAACGGACGAGGAGCUUGCUUCUCUGAUGUUAGCGGCGGACGGGUGAGUAACACGUGGAUAACCUACCUAUAAGACUGGGAUAACUUCGGGAAACCGGAGCUAAUACCGGAUAAUAUAUUGAACCGCAUGGUUCAAUAGUGAAAGACGGUUUUGCUGUCACUUAUAGAUGGAUCCGCGCUGCAUUAGCUAGUUGGUAAGGUAACGGCUUACCAAGGCAACGAUGCAUAGCCGACCUGAGAGGGUGAUCGGCCACACUGGAACUGAGACACGGUCCAGACUCCUACGGGAGGCAGCAGUAGGGAAUCUUCCGCAAUGGGCGAAAGCCUGACGGAGCAACGCCGCGUGAGUGAUGAAGGUCUUCGGAUCGUAAAACUCUGUUAUUAGGGAAGAACAUAUGUGUAAGUAACUGUGCACGUCUUGACGGUACCUAAUCAGAAAGCCACGGCUAACUACGUG